UGUUCGUUUUUGACAUCCACUAAUGAUAAGUCGUUGAAGUUUCUGAGUGAUCCUUCGACAACCCGUAACAGCUUUAAUUUGGGCUAUGACAAUGAUUUGUGUUACUUAUCAUAUAGCUGUCGGUCAUGCAUUGAGUGUGUUAAUUUUAACAUCAUUUUUUGGUUUUCUUAUUACAAGAAGUUUGCUAAACGGUGCCUAUUUAUUAGCGAUUCAACUACUAUAGAUCUUGAACUAGAAUGAAAUAGCCAUUGAACAGUUAUGGAAUAUAAUGCAUGUUAAGUUCUAAUGGGAUCUGAUGCAUUAGUACUGAUAUAAUCAUACCCUGUAAUAUAUGUCGACUUACUUGCAAAGAAUAUUCAUAAGACCCAACCCGGAGACAAGAACGCAAAUUAGUACAAGACUGAGACAGGAUAAAUCGAACAUAGUAGGCGGCAUGAAAUAAAUUGUUGAAAACCAAAAGACCAUGGCCUUAGCCUUUUUAUUUUAUUUUAUUUUAUUUUAUUUUAAUGUCAUGCAGGAACUUCGCAGGACCUAAGAGUAAGAACUGAAGCUACAGAGACAACUGGUGCAGCGCGGGACAUGUUGGUUCGUUCCACAGGGAUGCUGGGCCACCCGGCGUCUACAGAACUAUUAAUUUGCCAGACAAAAACAUAAUAGGAUGGGCUUAAAGAAAGGGAUCGGCUCAAUAAAUUUUCAAGGCCAUGGUAGUUAGAGAAAAUGGCGAAUCUAGAAAAGCACUUUCUUCAUUUAUUGGAGCAUACUGGGUACAAGCGUCGUACGCACAACUAUUUGAAUGAAACAUGUCACAUCUAGCGUCGGUUAGGAAUCAAAUUUAAGAUUGUGGGCCUCGUGCAGGG
rnacentral:lncRNA from 1 species